UACGGAGGGGACUAGCGUUGUUCGGAAUUACUGGGCGUAAAGCGCACGUAGGCGGAUUUGUUAGUCAGGGGUGAAAUCCCGAGGCUCAACCUCGGAACUGCCUUUGAUACUGCAAAUCUCGAGUCCGGAAGAGGUGAGUGGAAUUCCUAGUGUAGAGGUGAAAUUCGUAGAUAUUAGGAAGAACACCAGUGGCGAAGGCGGCUCACUGGCCCGAUACUGACGCUGAGGUGCGAAAGCGUGGGGAGCAAACAGG
rnacentral:rRNA from 1 species